UACGGAGGGGGCUAGCGUUGUUCGGAAUUACUGGGCGUAAAGCGCACGUAGGUGGCUUUGUAAGUUAGAGGUGAAAGCCCGGGGCUCAACUCCGGAAUUGCCUUUAAGACUGCAUCGCUAGAACGUCGGAGAGGUAAGUGGAAUUCCGAGUGUAGAGGUGAAAUUCGUAGAUAUUCGGAAGAACACCAGUGGCGAAGGCGACUUACUGGACGACUGUUGACACUGAGGUGCGAAAGCGUGGGGAGCAAACAGG
rnacentral:rRNA from 2 species